UACAGAGGGUGCGAGCGUUGUUCGGAAUUAUUGGGCGUAAAGGGCGCGUAGGCGGCGCGGUAUGUCACCUGUGAAAUCUCCUGGCUCAACUGGGAGCUUGCAGGCGAAACUGCCGUGCUGGAGUGUGGGAGAGGUGCGUGGAAUUCCCGGUGUAGCGGUGAAAUGCGCAGAUAUCAGGAGGAACACCGGUGGCGAAGGCGGGGUCUCUGGGCCAAAAACUGACGCUGGAGGAGCGAAAGCGUGGGGAGCGAACAGG
rnacentral:rRNA from 1 species